rnacentral:lncRNA from 10 species
GGAAAUUUGCUAGCAGGACUCUCUCUUGCUCUGCUGAGAGGCAUUUCUGAGAUGAAAGAAGUGGGCCCUGCCAUUGAACAGAAUUUAUGCAUUUAAAUAUUCAUCAUUUCUGUGAAAAAGAGAAGAAAAAUUAGGUGAUGACGUCAGUCCAUGCUUCGGAAAUAGUUGUUUGCGAGGGAAGACGGCUCAACCAGCAAACACCUAAAGGGCUUUUGAAACUCUCUAAAUACAAGUUUUUAGAAACGACGAGGCAUUGAAAACUUACCACAUGACCUUGUGCAAGUUGCUUAACACCACUAAGCCGCCCUGUCUUCUCAGUUUUAAUCGGGGAUAAUAUUGCAUCCUCUUAAAGAGUUUUUUUGAGAGGAUUUGAUGAGAAACUAUGUAAGUCACUUAGUAUGCUGCCUGGAAUGUAGCAAGAACUUGAUCAAUGAUAAACUAUUAUGGAAGUUUUUUUGUUUUAUUUUU